rnacentral:rRNA from 1 species
UGGGUAACCUGCCCAUAAGACUGGGAUAACUCCGGGAAACCGGGGCUAAUACCGGAUAANAUUUUGAACUGCAUGGUUCGAAAUUGAAAGGCGGCUUCNGCUGUCACUUAUGGAUGGACCCGCGUCGCAUUAGCUAGUUGGUGAGGUAACGGCUCACCAAGGCAACGAUGCGUAGCCGACCUGAGAGGGUGAUCGGCCACACUGGGACUGAGACACGGCCCAGACUCCUACGGGAGGCAGCAGUAGGGAAUCUUCCGCAAUGGACGAAAGUCUGACGGAGCAACGCCGCGUGAGUGAUGAAGGCUUUCGGGUCGUAAAACUCUGUUGUUAGGGAAGAACAAGUGCUAGUUGAAUAAGCUGGCACCUUGACGGUACCUAACCAGAAAGCCACGGCUAACUACGUGCCAGCAGCCGCGGUAAUACGUAGGUGGCAAGCGUUAUCCGGAAUUAUUGGGCGUAAAGCGCGCGCAGGUGGUUUCUUAAGUCUGAUGUGAAAGCCCACGGCUCAACCGUGGAGGGUCAUUGGAAACUGGGAGACUUGAGUGCAGAAGAGGAAAGUGGAAUUCCAUGUGUAGCGGUGAAAUGCGUAGAGAUAUGGAGGAACACCAGUGGCGAAGGCGA